UGUCAUUCUAACAUCCUAAAUAACAAUUUCUUCAAAAUUCACAAUUUUUUUUUGCAUAGACUCUUUACAUAUCAUUCUUUCUUUGUUUCUUUCUUCCACUCAUACAUAUCCUUCCUUUUUUCUCACUUUCUUCCACGUUUUGUAUCAAAGAUAAUAUAUUAUCUAUUAGAAAUUGUUGAGUGAGCGAGUUCAUUGAAGUAAAAAUCAAAGUAUUUAGUGUAAUAUAAAUUAUUAUUUUAUUUCUUUGAAUAUAAUUCAAAACGUGAUGAGUAAAUGCGCUUGAGCUUCCGUAGCUAGUAGACAAGAGUAAUUUAUGUGUGUAUUUAUUUUGCACACUAAACGCCACAAUUUAUUUGAGCGGCAUUUGUAAUGGCUCAUUCCCGUCGCGGUGCAAACACAUUUCAAUUCUUUUCGCUUUGACUCUGGCGACGCCUCAUAAACAAUAAUAAAUCCCGCAACGAGAAUAUUUGUGUGGAAUCAAAGUACAAUCUGGCAGGCAAGCCAUGAAAGCAAAAUCCCCAAGGCGACGCCAGACGGCGUAUUGCCUGAAUCCCAUAAAAUGUUGGCUACGCCUGCCGGCGCCCAAGGCAAGGGGCGGGGCACGUGGUGCGGGACGUGCAGAGCAGUGCACGGUGCUCGGGGCUCGGGGCUCGGGGCUCGGGGCUCGAGGCUCGGUUGCCCGUGGGCCACCAACGCCUCCUCAAUUUUAAAUGUACCAUGACGUGUCGCUAUUUUCGUCAGGCUGAGGGAAAACUCUUUCAAAUGGAAUUCACAAUGCACUGCGAACUAAUGGAAUUUGCUUUAUUUUUAGCCACUGGCCGGCACGGGAUCUCCUGGCUUUGCUUUUCCUUUGUUUUAAGUAAAUUAAAAAUAUGUUUCUAUGUAUUUUUUGAUGUUUAAAUAUAAUUUAUAAAUGAUUUGCCUCGA